rnacentral:piRNA from 1 species
UUAAAACGUGCCCUUUCCAUU